rnacentral:tRNA from 1 species
GGCCUGAUAGCCAAGCGGUAAGGCGAGAGUCUGCAAAACUCUUAUGCGUGGGUUCAAUUCCCACUCAGGCCU